rnacentral:rRNA from 1 species
CCUACGGGAGGCAGCAGUAGGGAAUCUUCCGCAAUGGACGAAAGUCUGACGGAGCAACGCCGCGUGAACGAUGAAGGCCUUCGGGUCGUAAAGUUCUGUUGUCAGGGAAGAACAAGUACCGGAGUAACUGCCGGUACCUUGACGGUACCUGACCAGAAAGCCACGGCUAACUACGUGCCAGCAGCCGCGGUAAUACGUAGGUGGCAAGCGUUGUCCGGAAUUAUUGGGCGUAAAGCGCGCGCAGGCGGUUCCUUAAGUCUGAUGUGAAAGCCCCCGGCUCAACCGGGGAGGGUCAUUGGAAACUGGGGAACUUGAGUGCAGAAGAGGAGGGCGGAAUUCCACGUGUAGCGGUGAAAUGCGUAGAGAUGUGGAGGAACACCAGUGGCGAAGGCGGCUCUCUGGUCUGUAACUGACGCUGAGGCGCGAAAGCGUGGGGAGCGAACAGGAUUAGAUACCCUGGUAGUCCACGCCGUAAACGAUGAGUGCUAAGUGUUAGAGGGUUUCCGCCCUUUAGUGCUGCAGCAAACGCAUUAAGCACUCCGCCUGGGGAGUACGGCCGCAAGGCUGAAACUCAAAGGAAUUGACGG